rnacentral:rRNA from 1 species
UACGUAGGGACCAAGCGUUGUUCGGAUUUACUGGGCGUAAAGGGCGCGUAGGCGGCGAAUCAAGUCAGCUGUGAAAUCUCCGAGCUUAACUCGGAACGGUCAGCUGAUACUGUUUUGCUAGAGUGCAGAAAGGGCAACCGGAAUUCUUGGUGUAGCGGUGAAAUGCGCAGAUAUCAGGAGGAACACCGGUGGCGAAGGCGGGUCUCUGGGCCGUAACUGACGCUGAGGAGCGAAAGCGUGGGGAGCGAACAGG